UACGUAGGUCCCGAGCGUUAUCCGGAUUUAUUGGGCGUAAAGCGAGCGCAGGCGGUUAGAUAAGUUGGAAGUGAAAUGCUGGGGCUGAACCAUGGUAUGCUUUUGAAACUGUUUAACUUGAGUGCAGAAGGGGAGAGUGGAAUUCCAUGUGUAGCGGUGAAAUGCGUAGAUAUACGGAGGAACACCGGUGGCGAAAGCGGCUCUCUGGUCUGUUACUGACGCUGAGGCUCGAAAGCGUGGGGAGCAAACAGG
rnacentral:rRNA from 1 species